ACUAAGAUGGCUGAAAAAUAGGCAAUAAACUGUAAAUUUAUUUAUGAAUUAAAUUCUUUUAGUA
rnacentral:tRNA from 1 species